AAGGGUAUAGCUCAGUGGUAGAGCGCAUGCUUGACAUGCAUGAGGUCCUGGGUUCAGUCCCCAGUCCCUCCA
rnacentral:tRNA from 1 species